rnacentral:rRNA from 1 species
GACGAACGCUGGCGGCGUGCUUAACACAUGCAAGUCGAGCGGAAAGGCCCUUUCGGGGGUACUCGAGCGGCGAACGGGUGAGUAACACGUGAGUAAUCUGCCCUUGGCUUUGGGAUAACCACCGGAAACGGGGGCUAAUACCGGAUAUGACGCGCCCCGGCAUCGGGGGGUGUGGAAAGUUUUUUCGGCCAGGGAUGUGCUCGCGGCCUAUCAGCUUGUGGGUGGGGUAAUGGCCUACCAAGGCUUCGACGGGUAGCCGGCCUGAGAGGGUGACCGGCCACACUGGGACUGAGACACGGCCCAGACUCCUACGGGAGGCAGCAGUGGGGAAUAUUGGACAAUGGGCGGAAGCCUGAUCCAGCAACGCCGCGUGAGGGAUGACGGCCUUCGGGUUGUAAACCUCUUUCAGUACCGACGAAGCGCCGAUGAUGGUGGUGACGGUAGGUACAGAAGAAGCACCGGCCAACUACGUGCCAGCCGCCGCCGUAA